GCUGGGUGUAAGUUUGACUGUACUGGCUCUUAACAGGAAAUUGCUCCAGGAUGUGAGUCAUCAUAGGGGAUUUUGUUCAUUUGGGGUGCAGCAACAGAUCCAUUACAUCACAGCAUGUGGCCAGAAGCGGGCACCAAGUCUCAUUCCAGAUGGUUGUGAGCC